CACUCACAGAUACAGAGAGGCGGAGCCUUGGGGAUCUGAUUCUGAAAAAGAGUGACUCAACUUUUGUUUUGCACACUGCAAACAUGACCAUCCUUUGCGUUUUACUUCUGCUACUGAUGAUUAAAAAGGAGACACUGGCACAGUCAAUAACACAGCUGGAAGACAAGGCACUUAAAUCUGAAGGAGAAAAAGUCACUCUGUCAUGUAAAUAUGAUGGAGCUGUAAAUAACCUGCACUGGUAUCGACAGUAUCAGGGAUCCAAAUCGGAGUUCCUCGCAUAUAUUUAUCCACAUGGAGCCACAAGUAAACCUCUUCCUGAUGGUCUCAUACCUAAAGUUGAUAAAAACAACAAUCUUGUGAGCCUGGAGAUCUCCGAUGCCAAAGUAACAGACUCUGCACUAUACUACUGCGCACUGACGCCCACAAUGACAGGAAACUCAACUACACUAAGAAGCUCCUCCUAUAAAGUGUUUGAGGUCUCCUGCAUCACAGAGAUGCAAAAGCAAGAAGAGACUCUUAACUUCUCAGUUAAUUUUUAUGACUUUGACGAUUUCACUUGA